ACCUUCGGGCCUCAUGCCAUCAGAUGUGCCCAGAUGGGAUUAGCUAGUAGGUGGGGUAACGGCUCACCUAGGCGACGAUCCCUAGCUGGUCUGAGAGGAUGACCAGCCACACUGGAACUGAGACACGGUCCAGACUCCUACGGGAGGCAGCAGUGGGGAAUAUUGCACAAUGGGCGCAAGCCUGAUGCAGCCAUGCCGCGUGUGUGAAGAAGGCCUUCGGGUUGUAAAGCACUUUCAGCGGGGAGGAAGGCGAU
rnacentral:rRNA from 1 species